UAUUCCUUUGAUUUAUCCCAAGGCUUAGACAAGGUUGGUUUACAUACAUUUUGAAAGUAUAGCAAUGGGUUUGUAUCCUGUCAUGGAAAAGGGCUUCAUGUUCAGUGGAAGUCCUAGAAACACAGCCUCCCAGGAUGCAGCUGAACUCACAGGGCAGGGACCAGCAGUGCAGGUCUGUGCCCUGGACCAGAAUUCUGCAUUGCACACUCCUUUUUCCCUUGCAGCUUGCAAAGGACGUUAAUAGCAAGUGAACUUUCCAUGCUGUGUACUGUGAAGCCUAAAAUUUCCCAUCCAGGAAGGCAGAAAGCACAAGCUAAAUGAAGACUCAAAGCACUUACAUCACAGUUUGUGGCAUCCUCUCCUGCUUCAAGCCCCAAAGUGCCUAGGUACAUCGACAGAUGUCUAUCUGAGGCCCCUAGGGCUUUCCUGCAACCUUCCAGCUGUUGCUUGCAGAAAUACAGAAUGAGACUAUUCUGAUUGAGAUGCCUUAGGAAGGAAUCCAGCCAGUGUUUUUCCUGUGUGCUCCAGAUGUUUGCAAUAACAUACUACUGAAGUGAGUGCCAGCAGUAAAGGGAUAUUCCUCCACAGGAAAUACUUUGCAUCUGACACCAACGAAUAGCUCCUUAGGGAAAAAAAAAGGCACCAAUUUGUUAGCUAGCAGCUAACCAGUAAACAGAAGAGUAAUCUUGGUAAAAUUAGAUUAAGUAUGUAACUUCCAGUAACUGAAUUUGGAAAACAAGCAGAAGGAAUUACUAAUAUAAACUACUGCUUUAGGUUUACUGCAGAAAUAUUCAGCCACCAAUCUCCUUUUAGCCUCACAAUCAUGCUUUUCAAUUUUGAAGAGGAAAUAAAUAAACUUCUCUUUUCAAGCACUUACGCGGAGUGUAUUGGGCUGAGGAAAUAAUAGAAUAAGUUUAUCUCAUAUUAUUCCUGUACUUAAAAAACAUUUUGACAGAUAUUUUCAAGAGAGAUGAAUAAGAAUGGUAUAAUCAUGUUUUUUCUUCCCUGACCCAUUUGCUAUUUAUUUUUUAUCAUAUAUAUUAUUCUAUUGAUUUAUAUGUACAGUCAUUUUGUUAAUUCUUUCCAUCAAAAAGUGGACAUUGAAUUUUUAUUUUGAGAGCAAAUACAUUUCUGAAUCUUUCAAUGAUGUGUAUGCAUAUUUUAAUAUUUUCCAUACUCUAAAAUAACAGAUUAUUUUCUUUUCAUACAUGAAAAUAAUUUUUUUUUUAGUUUACUUGCCUAUCCAGUGCAUCAUUACUAAGUCAAAGCAUUGCACACACAAUUAUUUACACAAUGUUAGAUGCCAUUGUAUAAUAUGAAUGGACAAACCUCAUAUAACUUGGACAAAGUUCAUAUUAUCACAUCACCUCUAGGUAUUUGUAUUUUGACUGAAUUUGGUUUUAUCAUCCUCUUUUACUAAAUUCAUAGGCUCUUGAAUUUUACACUGAAAACUGACUCUUUUGAAUAUAAAGAAGUCACAGGUAUAACUGAUACUCAUGCAAGAUGCUCCAUUUCUUUCUCUAGGUACUGAGGGGCUAGUUUGCAGAAAACCUUCACCAAUACGUAAAUCCUUAUGGGAAAUAUAUGCGGAUUGUGUACUUGAAUCAAAGCAAUUACGAAUUCAUACUACACAUGCAUAGUAUUUUGCUAUACAAUUUUAAAUCAGUAUCAAGAAGAAAAAUGUAGGAGAAAUAAGACAAGAACUUAGAGCAUAAAGUCACCUUGCCUUAACACUGACUUUUGUUAUGUUUGCUAGUUACCGUUUGGAAACAACCAACUUAACUCACAAGUAUGUAGUUUAUUUUGUGAGUUCCUGAGUUUCCUUUCUUUUCACUUUUUAAAUAAGUGAAAUAACAUAAUGUCAUUUAAUAUAUAUACCACAUUUUAUAAAGCACUUUUAAUUUUUCCCUUUAACUGAAGAGUCUUUCAACAUCCAUCCAAAGGAACUACAACUCUAUAGUUUGGAGUGUAAGCAGCCGAAGUGAGUUCCUCAGCACAAGUGUUAAAUAAUUGUUUAGGAAUUCAGAAAAGAGCACUAUAUUCAGUUAAACAUGGGAACAUUUUGGAAAGAGAUUAGUCCACUCUUCUUUUAGGCUAGAAAAGUUAAAAGAUGGAAACCUGUGUUUAAUAAGUACCUGGAAUAGAAGUUAUAGGCAUUGUACUAUAGCUUAACCCAUUGUUUUAAUUUAACUUAUGAUUAAUUUUGAAGAUUGAAAUGGGUAUUUAAUUUAGUAAGUGUCCAAUACACAAACCUGCAGCAAUUCAAUUAGGCUUUCUUUCACAAUUUCAUUUGGGAUGAAAAACACAUGUUCACCGGUUUAGUGCUUCCCUAUCUUGUAUGUGGAAUAUUUCCUUUAGGGACAAAUUUAAAAGAGGGAGGGAAAAUAAGGUUAUAUUUAACCAUUCCCAGAAUUAGUUAGUUCAGCUAGGUAUCUGUUUGCUUUUAAAAACCUUGAUUUUGUUUGGAAACUUUGAAAAUCUU